rnacentral:lncRNA from 1 species
GUGAGCCACCGUGCCUGGCCCACAUGUAUUUUUAAGUAUACAUUUUUGUGUGUGUGUGAAGGGGAGUGAUCUGAUGCGCAGUUGCUGGAAGCUUAUCAUAAUGUGGUCACAAUUUUCACUAUGAAGUAGUUCUCUAAAGGAAGGUCUUUGUGUAAAGACAGACUAUUAGAAAGUUUUUCAUGACUGGUGGUACUGAUUUGCAUACUUUUGUGUAUUCAUGAGUACAAUAAUAUUUAUUGACAGCCUACUGAGUUUCUGGCACUCUCCUGAGUACUGGGAAUACAUCUGUCAAUUGAACUUAAAACACAUUAGCUGUGAUAUAACAAAACAAAAUGAAUGAAUGUAUAUAAUCUCACUAUAGUCAACCGUAUUACUACCUUUCAUGUUGAGGACACACCAAAAUAUUGCAAAAUCCCUUUCUAUUAUUAAGAAUGCUUUAUUUUGAAUAGAAUAAACUUAAUAAAUUUAAAAAAUUAAAAGAGUAGAAAAUAAUCCAAAGGAAUCUAUAAACACAUAUAAGCUAGCAUGGUUAUACAAUGUAUCUAUAUGUACACAUGUCAGGAAUUCAGAGUAAAUGCAAGAAGAUGCCAAAUUGUGAGUCAUUCUUUAAACAAACAUACUGAGAGUUGGUUUUCUACACUACAUGCAUUUGGCAUGCCUACUUGUUGGACAUAGUCAUGACAAUUUCUUGUUUCUUUCACUCAACACAUGUAAUUGAGUGCCUAUGGCGGGCACUGGGCAAGGUGCUGGGAAGAAAAGUUGGGUUACACACAUUCUUGCCCUCCUGGACUUCAUGCAGGAGUUGUUUGAUUUCAUUAUAGAACCAUUUUCUGGGUCCUAAUGUCUACUUUUCAGAAGCAGACAUUUCCCAUUGCUUGUAGGAUGACCACCUCAUACACAUGGUCACCGUCAUCAUCCACCAAGCUCAGGACAACCAUCUCAUCAGGCUCCAUCUUAAAAGAAACUGUGAGAGCCCUUGUCUUGUGAAUUAGCUGCCUCUUCAGCAAUAUCUCUGGUCCUGAUCCUGAGCACUGGCCUCACUGCGAGGUGUUGUGGGUGUUCUGUUCCUCCUACUUCUGAGGCUCCCUUGCCUGGAUUCUCAGAAAACCAGGUCUUAGGCAAGAUGUGACCCUGAGCUGUGCAGCCUUAUAGUCGCAGCCCUUACCUUGCCAGGUUUUAAUGUCCUUCUGUGUACAACAAAGCAUUUAAGGAAUUUUAGGGAUCCCUAGGUUCCUUAAAAGGUACUUCCUGUCUUUCAAGCAAGUGAAAGGAAGAUGCAACCCUGUGAAGCCAAGACGGUUUCCAGAGCCUGGGAGCCAGGUGUGUGUUCCCACGGCUGCCUUGUGUCACAUGCCCAUGAUGAGGACAGUGUGAUAUUUUCACCAAAGCCUUUUCCCACCUCACUGCUAGGCAUUGAAAUGUUCUGAGUUCAUCACAGCAAGAGCAAGAAGGGGUCUUAGCAAUUAAUCAUUCAUUUGAUAGACGAGGAACUUGGAGUCUAAAGGGAUUCAGGCAGAAGAACUUAGCUUUUGACAACCAAUCAGCCUUACUAAAUUUAAACAAAUAGGAUUUUUAAAGUGUAAAAUAAUUUAUGGAAAUACCUUUAAGAGUAUUACUCUCUGCCUUGUUUCUUAGAUCAAAAAGUAACAAACUUACUUAUUUUUGAUAUCUCAGGGAUAUUCUGCUAUGAACGGAAUGUAGUUGUGAAUGGUACUGUCUCUGGAGAUAGAGCUGGGCUCACGUUGUGGCUGUAUCACUUAUUAGUUUCAUGAUGUAGGCCACAGUGUUUAGUCUUUCUGAGCCACAGCAUCCUUACCUGCAAAAUGGAGAGAAUAAUGAUUGGUAUCAAUCUCACUGGGAAGUUGUGAGAAUUAAGUGAUACAAUGUGCAUGUGAAAACAGUAGGAUGCCUGACAUGUAAGUGGGAUUGCUAUUGGAUGCUUUUAUUAUAAUUACUACUAUUAUAAUUUGGAUGUCACUUGGAACUUCUCUGCCUCUUGGGGAUUUAGUUUGAAUAUUUAAUUCCACAGCUGGGGGAAGCUGAAGUUUUUCUCUUAAUUCCUGUUUUAUCCCAACCCUACACUCCCUCCUUAAGGUGCCUCUGUUUCUACUCUUCUGUUGAUGGAUACCAUCUUGUUUGGCUUGCAUUUACCUUCUGCACAUUUGCAGUGAGCCAAGCCUUUUAUAAAAUUGUCCCUUUACUGAAGAUGUGGAAGUUCACAGAAGAGGGAUUGUGCCACACUGUGUGGGUCAUGACUUUCUUCCUUCCCACUCAUGUUCUGCUUCUCCCAGGGCCCACAUGCCAACAUGUGCCUUAGCUAAUCCAUGUAGUUCCUGAAUGGGUAAUUGAUUCCCUCUGUCUGAGAGUUUUCCUCUGGAAGAGUAGACCCAACCAGGAGGACUUUCUUUCUUGGUCCCCCUGGAAUGCUGGUGAGUAAAUAUUCUCUGUUGUUACCUUCAGUUCUGUCAUUAGACUACACUGCACUUCAGUAGACCACAUUAAACUACUCAGAUCAUAGUGGCUUCCAUAUUUGCCCCUACUCCGAAGGAACGCCCUGCUUCUAUUUCAGGAAUUUUCUUUGUCCUCUGUUACUAUCAGCCAGCUACUUGUUGAUGUGAGUGUGCCACCCCUUGGGGUGACCCCCGCUAUCUAACAUGAUGCUUUCAGCCUUUGGGGCAGCAAAGGCCGAGGGCAUUAGAAGUGUGCGUAAAGCUCUCUGAGUGGGAGCUUCUGCUCCCUCCUUCGGGGCAAAAUAAAUAAACCUUAGUACCUGGGCUUUAUGGCAAUUCUUUUGUUGGCUGAGCCACAGUUUUUCUUUAAUUCCUGUUUUUCUAUAUCACUCCAGCUAGCAGAGGUUGACAGAUCAAUGUAGUGUUAAAGAUAUGUAGCAACAUUUGUCUGGCACUAUUGGAAAAUGAGGUGUUUUCUAUAAAUAAAUUCCAGGUAAUGGGAGCUCAUCAUUUUAGAUACCGAAACCUUUAAACAUUUUAAUAAUGUUGGGUGGAGUGCUAAGACAUUAUGUGGCUUAAAAUCUAGAAAAUAAUUGAUGCAUACAAAUAGGAAGGCAGAAUAACAGUGGAUAAGUAUACAGACUGGAGUCAAGCUUGAUUCACAGGGUUCUGCCAUUUUUCCAUCCCAAAUGCAGUGCACAGCAUUGAGCCCAGUAAUACAUCUUGUUUCAUAUGCUUGAUUUGAAGAUGUCAUGCCCCUCCAUGCAAAGUCUUAGCAUAGUGCCAGGCACUUUUUACAUGCUUACUAUCCAGCUCUUCCUGGCCUUAUUGUUACUGUUAACUUUUUUUGUUGUUGUUUUUUUCUUUUUGAGAUGAAGUCUCGCUCUCUCACCCAGGCUGGAAUGCAGUGGCAUGAUCUCGGCUCACUGGAACCUCCGCCUCCCAGGUUCAAGCGAUUCUCCUGCCUCAGCCUCCUGAGUAGCUGAGAUUACAACUGAUGCUUUUCCAAGCCUUCUACAUCCCACAGCUGGUUAUUAGAAUGUGAUAAUCUUGGAGUCAAUAUAUGGAGGGGAUGCUGAAAAAAAUUCACAGGAGACCAACUCAGUCUACCAGCUAAAUCGGUUUGGAGGCACUGAAAUCUAAUAAAAAACACAUCUGAGUAUCCAAUCCUGGACCCACUGCCAGGAAGAGAAGAGACCUUGAACAGUGAUGGAGGCAGUGAAGGAACUUCGGUAUAAGAGAUUGCAUCCCAUUUCUUCACUGGUCCCACCAAGGUGACCAGCUGUGUGACAAAUCCUCUAGAAUCUGGAGCUGACCCCUGAGGGUGACCACAAUGGAGAGACUGAGGAUUAUCAUCCAGCACCACAUACCAACAGAAUAACGUGUGUCACUGACAUGUGAGUAGAACUGAAACGAAGCAGCCAGUUCGUUGGUCACUGAGAGGUGAGUCAUAAUACCAGGCAGAGUUGUGAAGACAAAGAAAUAGAAGACAAGUCCAUGAUCUCCUAGAGCUUCUCUCUUGGUUUAAGAGACAAGAAAAAGUUACUUGAACACAUAUGAUGAAUGCAAAUCAUGUAAAUGAAUCCUAAAACAUGGUGGGAGCAGUCCCACCAGGAAGUGCAGGAGUGGAGAGGCCCUGACAUCACAGGGGAGCCAUGGUGGGGGCUUCAUGAAGGAGCAAUCUGAGAGGCCUGAAGGCCAGCAAGCAGCCUGAGAAGGGCAUCGCAGCUGUUGGAAGAGAAAGGGCUGGCUGGACAGAGCUCAGCUCGUGCUUGAGGAGGGAGCAAGGAGUCAAGUGUGCUGAUGUCCUGAUUUGGAAAAUACUGAGAUGGUGAGAAACAAAGCUGGCCAGCUGGUGGGGCCACAGCAUGGAGGUCCUCAAAUACUCGGAUGCAGAGUUUGAACCGAUAUUCUUAUCUGUGCUGAAUUACGACUGGUCAAAGUGUACACUACAAAAUUCUUAAUGCUUCAGCAAUCUUUACUAACCACUUUUUUUCUUCUACUUGUAAAGCCAAAGAGGGACAAGAAAGGGCUAGAGGAAUGUCUCUAGAAUCAAAGUCAAGACCUCCAGAUUCUAGUACUACCUGUGUUGCUACUUAAUUAUAUGAACUUGUGCAAAUCUUGUUAUUCAUCUGUAGUUUAACUUUGCAUUUGCAACACGAGAUGGUAAAACCGAUACAUAACUCAGUAUUUCUUUAAAAAAAAAUGGAAACAAUAAAUGCACAAAACCCAAAAGUUAGCAUUUAGGGAUAUCAAGACUACUGUUGUCAUCACUGUGAUUCUGCAAGUUCUCCAGAAAAAUUCACGUUAGGACAUAUAGAUGCAGGGCUACCUUCAGCCAUCCAUCCAUUCAACUCUGCCCCAGGCGCCCAAACUGCACGCUUUGUGGAGCUUAUAUUCUAACGGGGAAGUAUAAUUGGUUGCUAGGGCUGCCAUAGCACUGCAGACUGGGUGGUUUAAAUAACAGAAUUUUAUUUUUUACAAUUCUGGAGGCCAGAAGUUUGAGAUCAAGGUGUCAGCAGGGUUGCUUCAUCUGAGGCCUCUCUCUUGGACUUGUAGAUGGCUGUCUUCCCCUUGUGUCUUCACAUGGUCCUCCCUCUAUGAGUGUAUGUCCAUGUGCUUAUGUGUGUGCUAAUCUCUUCAUAGAAGGACACCAGUCGUAUUGGAAGAGGGGCUACACAUAUGACCUCAUUUUACCCCAAUUCCCUCUCCAAAGGACCUAUCUCCAAACACAGUCACAGUCUGAGGUACUGGGUGUGAGAUCAUAUGAAUUUUUCAGGGACACAAAUUUGGCCCAUAACAGAGAGAUAAAUAAUAAACAAGUAAACAAAUAAGGAAUAAAUGGAAUAACAUGAAGCAGACUUGUGUGAGUGGAAUUGCUAUAGAGCGAAGAAUGCAAACACCACCUGGCUUUGAAAGACAGAGUGGACUGUCCCUGCAGGAGAGCAGCAAUGGAGGUGUCGCAAGAUGAGACAAGCUCUGUGUGUUUGAGACUGAGCAUGCACCAGUUGGAAGGCUUGGUUUGGGUCCCUGCAGCUUAGGGGCACAGUGCAAAAGUGUCUGAACCACUUCUAUCAAAAGGGCCCCUGGCUAGAGCUGCUGAGGGUGUCCAUGCCUCCAGGAGAGUCUGCCUCUGGGAAGUGGCCGGCUUAGAUGGUGUCCUCAGACAGACUGGGGGUGCCUCCCAUCCAUUCCCAAGAGGAGCUCAGCACGGCAGGGCUGAAAGAAGGAAGGGCAUGGCUGCAGGGGAGAAUCCACAAGGAUUUUGAGCAAGAGAACGACAAUGAAAGUCAAAGCUUUCCCGUAAGAAAAUUAAUCUAAUUUUAAUAUCAGAGAUGGAGAGGAGGUGGAUAGGAUCAGCCUCAGAGCCAUCCAAUCAUUAGUUGUUUUUAUAACAAGCAAUUACUGAGCACUGAUUUGUUCUGAGGGCUAAAUAGGAACAGCAAUGUUGGGAAUUGUAUUAGUUUCUCAGGAUGUCAUGAAAAAGUAGUAGACACUGGGUGGCUUAAAAUAACAAAAGUGGAUUCUCUCCUAGUCCUGAUGGCCAGAAGGCUGAUAUCAAGGUGUCGGCAGGACCACACUCCCCCUAGAACCUCUAGGGAAAGAUCGUUCCUUGCAUCUGCCAGCUCUGUGGCUCCAAGCACUCCUUGGUUUGCAGCAGCAUAACUUCCAUGUCUACCUCUGUUUUCAUGAUUGUCUUUCCCCUGGGUCUCUUCUGCUCUUCGUAUAAGAGCUAUCAAGUGGGCUUCAUCCCUGGGAUGCAAGGCUGGUCCAACAUACGCA